GGGGAGAUACUCAAGCGGCCAACGAGGACAGACUGUAAAUCUGUUGACUACGUCUUCGCAGGUUCGAAUCCUGCUCUCCCCAC
rnacentral:tRNA from 1 species